GUCGACCCCUAAGGCGAGGCUGAAAAGCGUAGUCGAUGGGAAACAGGUUAAUAUUCCUGUACUUGGUGUUACUGCGAAGGGGGGACGGAGAAGGCUAGGCUGGCCGGGCGACGGUUGUCCCGGUUUAAGCGUGUAGGGGGAGUGACCAGGUAAAUCCGGUUGCUUAUCAACCCUGAGGCGUGAUGACGAUGCACUACGGUGCAGAAGCAGUUGAUGCCAUGCUUCCAGGAAAAGCCUCUAAGCAUCAGGU
rnacentral:rRNA from 1 species